GUCGAGAAUCUUUCACAAUGGGGGCAACCCUGAUGGAGCGACGCCGCGUGGAGGAUAAGGUCUUCGGAUUGUAAACUCCUGUCAUGCGUGAACAAGGUUGCUUGGUUAAUACCUGGGCAAAUUGAUGGUAACGCAAGAGGAAGAGACGGCUAACUCUGUGCCAGCAGCCGCGGUAAUACAGAGGUCUCAAGCGUUGUUCGGAAUCACUGGGCGUAACGGGUGCGUAGGUGGCGUGGUAAGUCAGAUGUGAAAGCCCGGGGCUCAACCUCGGAACUGCAUCCGAUACUGCCAUGCUAGAGUACUGGAGAGGUGACUAGAAUUCUCGGUGUAGCAGUGAAAUGCGUAGAUAUCGAGAGGAAUACCAAAGGCGUAGGCAGGUCACUGGACAGUUACUGACACUGAGGCACGAAGGCCAGGGGAGCGAACGGGAUUAGAUACCCGUGUAGUCC
rnacentral:rRNA from 1 species